rnacentral:lncRNA from 1 species
GAAGAAUGCCGCUAGGAACAUUCACACGCAGGUUUUUGGUGUGGACGUAUGUUUGUAUUUCUCCUGGGCACACCCGGGAUGGAGCUGCUGGGUGGCAUGGAAUUCCACCUGUGACUUACUGAAGAGCUGCCAGGCAGUUUCCCAGAGGGGCUUCAUCGCUCUGCCUCCCCCCGCCGCUCCUCACCCCGCCGCUCCUCACCCCCCGCCGCUCCCCCACACACCCCCCGCCGCUCCACACACCCCCCGCCGCUCCCUCACACCCCCCGCCGCUCCCUCACACCCCCCGCCGCUCCCACACACACACCCCGCCGCUCCCUCACAGCCCCCGCCGCUCCCUCACACCCCCCGCCGCUCCCUCACAGCCCCCGCCGCUCCCACACACACACCCCGCCGCUCCCUCACAGCCCCCGCCGCUCCCCCCCACACCCCCCGCCGCUCCCUCACAUCCCCCGCCGCUCCCUCACACCCCCCGCCGCUCCCUCACACCCCCCGCCGCUCCCACACACACCCCCCGCCGCUCCCACACACACCCCCCGCCGCUCCCACACACACCCCCCGCCGCUCCCACACACACCCCCCGCCGCUCCCACACACACCCCCCGCCGCUCCCACACACACCCCCCGCCGCUCCCACACACACCCCCGCCGCUCCCACACACCCCCCGCCGCUCCCUCACACCCCCCGCCGCUCCCCCACACACCCCCCGCCGCUCCCCCACACACCCCGCCGCUCCCACACACACCCCCCGCCGCUCCCACACACACCCCCCGCCGCUCCCCCACACACCCCCCGCCGCUGGUCACGGGUCCACCCUUCAACUGCAGCCAUCCCAGGGGGUGUGAAGUGGAUCUCACUGUGGUUUUUAUUUUCAUUUCCCUGAUACAGAAUCCACAGAGACAUAAACAGACGAGUGGUUCUGAGGGGUGGGUGGGGUGGGGCGUGAGGCAGGGAGAAGAGGGAGAAGGUUCUGGAAUUAGAUGGUGGUGAUGGUCACACAAGGUGGUGAAUUGAACAUACUAAAAACCACUGACUUGUACCUUUUAAACUGGUGAAUUUUAUCCCAAUGAAAAAAAAACACCUUGUUCCUCCUUUGAGACCCAGCUCUCGCGCCCACUCCUCCAAGAGCCCGGGGUGUCUCUGCACCUCAUUCAUAUCACUGGUGUGACUUUUGUAUCUUGUGCUGUGAUGUGGACAGCAGACCCUUCUCCCUUGUAUGUUUAACACGCGUGUUGUGGUGUGGUGUGGUGUUGGCUGCUCAGGACACACCCUGUCGUCCACCGCACUCGGGGAGUUUCCUGCGUGACACUGGGGUCAGCAGCGUGGUUGGAAUCUGGUGAUGGAGCUGGUCCCUGCCCACAGCCCCCGCCACAUCAGUGGCUUUUCCCGCAGCUCCCCACAAAAGGAUGUGCCGCCUAGCAGAGAUGAGAAUCAGGUUUUCUUGUAAGAAAGAGUUGCUGAAGGAAAGCCGGUCACGUGCAGUGAUGUUGUGAAAGAAAGUGAUGACAAGCUAAAAAAAGAAGGACACUGAGAAAACAUUAUUAUCAGCAGAGUUUAUCUGGGCCAGAUUUGGGGACCCCAACCCCAGGAUGCUACCUCAGGAGUGUUCUGAGUUGCAGCGAUUACAAGCAGAUUUUUUAAGGACAAAAUGAGGAGAUGUGGCAAGGUGGUCCCAGCCCCUUCACCUAGAGGGGCCCUUGUUGACAGAGGUGAGCUGAUGAAUGAUCAGUUGAAGACUCCCGUGCUUCUGGGAAUAGUCAUUGUGAGCAUGUGGUCAGCCCGGUUGCUAGAAUUCUUCCCAUGAGCAGGUGGGGUCCAGGAACUUCAGGGGCUGACUGUGGCCUCAUGCCCAGUACCUUUAGCCAUUUUAAUUUACCAAACCUCAUUGUCCCAUUCUCUUUUCAGGUUCUUGGCCAUAAAAUAUGGCUUUUGGAAAAAUAAAGCUGAGACUUGGAGUUCACGGUGGGGGCUCCCCCAUCUGUGAACAGAAGCAGAAGUUUGGAACUGCCUUCUUUACUGCUCGAGAGGGAAAACUUGAGUGAAAACCAGGAUGCUGGCGAAUGUUGAGUAGCUAAGCUGCACAGGAAAUACCACUUGAUGACCUGCGAUCUGGGGAAGCCGCGCCAGGGCUCUGCGAAGCUGCGGACGAGGGAGGCGUCAGUGUGGGGGCUGCAGCUCAGCUCCGGGGGGGACGCGCCUUUCUCCACGGGACCUGGGGCUCAGGUGCUCACGAGGCUGGGGCGCUGCAGGCCACCCGCAGGGGAAACUGAGGCCCUCCAUUUUGUGGGGCUGGAAGACCUUUCCUUCCAAAAGCAGGUGUAGGCGGGAGCACCUGUGCAGUCCCUCUGUUCAGAUCCUCACCCACUUUUAAAUCAGGAAACAGCAGAUGAAAUGCACAGUGUGAAGGACAAGGAUUCUGCUGAGAGAAUUGCUCCGAGGGUUGCUCAAGUGAUCAUGGGAAAUAAUGCAUCAAACCAUUCUUUAGAUGCAGCUCAGGUGUGCCUUUUCUUCGCCUGUGCCCAUCCACCUGAGAUGGACCAUAACCAUAAAAGUCAGAAGGCACUGACCCUUCAGGACGUGACAGGGUUAAAAGAUGCUGGAGGGAAAGUCUGUCAUUGACUUUUAUUCACUUCCUUUCUCCAUUCUGCCAUUUGGAAGAAGGUAAGCAACUUAACACUAUUUUAGACCAUAUGUUGUAAACUAGCAGGAAAAUGCCUUUGAG